GAGUCCGUCUUGGGCCACUCUCCUGAGCUCGGCCUCCCUGGGGGAACUGGCCAUUAACACACUUUCGCGGCGGAAGUGAGCGUGUUGAAGGGUACAGUCACUAAAUUGAAAGGAGAGCUGCUUUUUAUUCAUUUGAGUAGAGGUCUGCAGGACACACCAAAGAACUCCUCCAAGUCACACAAGGGAGAAAAUUAACUUCAUUGGCUUCUAUCAGGAAAGCUAUUUUUUUUUUCCUCUUCUUUCCUGCAAGUUUCCCAAACCCCAUGACUCUGAUUUCCAGGUCAGAGACUAAGGUUUUAUUUUUCUUACUCUGUAUACUUUAUAUGUGGAGAGUCCCUGAAGGAACACUGUGAUGGGCUGAUUACUGUGAGCCAGUUGUGGGCCAGACCUGGCCUCAGGUGCUGCAAAGGGAAUUCAGUCACCCCUGUGCAGUGAUCUGUGAGCCCCAAGUCAGAUCCAACUUUUUCCUGAUAGACAGCACCCUCCUCCUCCCUACCAAGAAAUAGCAGGGUUGGAGGUAGUGACCCAAUAUUCAAGAGGUUUGAAAUUCUACAUGAGAUAUUUCUGAGUUAACUCCUAAAUAGCAGUUUCCUUAAUCAUGUGGAAAAUAAGAACACUUACUAAAGAGACCAUUGGUUUAAGAGAAAUGGAAACUUAUGUCCACGUAAAAACCUGUAAAUGAAUGUUCACAGCAGCCUUUUCAUAAUAGCCAAAAAGGGAAAGCAAUCCACACGUCCAUCAACCAAUGAAUGGAUAAACUUAACGUGGGAUAUACGUGUAAUGGAAUGCUAUUUGGUGAAGAAAGAAAUGAAAUAUUAAUACAUGCGUUAACAAGGAUGGACCUUAAAAUAUCAUGCUAAGUAAGAGAAGCCUGUCACAAAAGAAUAUGUAUUGUACCAUUCUACUUAUAUGAAAUUCCUAGAAUAGGCAAUUCUAUAGGGACAGAAACUAGACUAGUGAUUGGCUAGAGCUUGGGGAGAGUUUGGGGAGCCUGGAGGAUGACAGCAAAGUGGUGCAGAGUUUCUUUUUAGGUUGAUUAAAUGUUGUAAAAUUAAUUGUAGUGAUGGUUGUGCAACUUUGUGAUUUUGUUAAAAACCAUUGCAUUUUGCCCUUUAAAUGGAUGAAUUGCACAAUGUGUGAAUUAGACAUAAGUUUAUUUACAUAAUUAAUAUCUAUUUAUUGAUAUAUAACUCAUAUAUCAAUAAAUAUAUACUAUAUAAAAUAAUUUUAUAUUUAUAUAAAAUGUGAAUUAUAUAUAAAUACAUAAAUAAAACUGCUAAAAACUAAAAAAUAUAUACUUUAAAAAAAGGCUGUUCGUUUCUUUCACAUUUUCUGAGCACAAUCACUUUGGGAUAAAUGUGUCCAGGCUUAAAAAGCCAGAUUUUAUGGGCUAACUAAAAUGGAAAUGUGAAAAACUGUGUUUUUUUCCAUAGGAGGAGAGAGUCUGAUUUGCAGGUACGUGCAUACCCACAGCAGUCAUACUUGUAAUUCUUGGAAACUUUGCUGAAAGUUUUUUCCUAGCCUGAAAUCAUUAAAAUAUGUUGAAACAAUGACA
rnacentral:lncRNA from 1 species